UUGAACGCUGGCGGCAGGCCUAACACAUGCAAGUCGAGCGGUAGCACAGAGAGCUUGCUCUCGGGUGACGAGCGGCGGACGGGUGAGUAAUGUCUGGGAAACUGCCUGAUGGAGGGGGAUAACUACUGGAAACGGUAGCUAAUACCGCAUAAUGUCGCAAGACCAAAGUGGGGGACCUUCGGGCCUCAUGCCAUCAGAUGUGCCCAGAUGGGAUUAGCUAGUAGGUGGGGUAACGGCUCACCUAGGCGACGAUCCCUAGCUGGUCUGAGAGGAUGACCAGCCACACUGGAACUGAGACACGGUCCAGACUCCUACGGGAGGCAGCAGUGGGGAAUAUUGCACAAUGGGCGCAAGCCUGAUGCAGCCAUGCCGCGUGUGUGAAGAAGGCCUUCGGGUUGUAAAGCACUUUCAGCGGGGAGGAAGGCGGUGAGGUUAAUAACCUCAUCGAUUGACGUUACCCGCAGAAGAAGCACCGGCUAACUCCGUGCCAGCAGCCGCGGUAAUACGGAGGGUGCAAGCGUUAAUCGGAAUUACUGGGCGUAAAGCGCACGCAGGCGGUCUGUCAAGUCGGAUGUGAAAUCCCCGGGCUCAACCUGGGAACUGCAUUCGAAACUGGCAGGCUAGAGUCUUGUAGAGGGGGGUAGAAUUCCAGGUGUAGCGGUGAAAUGCGUAGAGAUCUGGAGGAAUACCGGUGGCGAAGGCGGCCCCCUGGACGAAGACUGACGCUCAGGUGCGAAAGCGUGGGGAGCAAACAGGAUUAGAUACCCUGGUAGUCCACGCCGUAAACGAUGUCGACUUGGAGGUUGUGCCCUUGAGGCGUGGCUUCCGGAGCUAACGCGUUAAAUCGACCGCCUGGGGAGUACGGCCGCAAGGUUAAAACUCAAAUGAAUUGACGGGGGCCCGCACAAGCGGUGGAGCAUGUGGUUUAAUUCGAUGCAACGCGAAGAACCUUACCUGGUCUUGACAUCCACAGAACUUUCCAGAGAUGGAUUGGUGCCUUCGGGAACUGUGAGACAGGUGCUGCAUGGCUGUCGUCAGCUCGUGUUGUGAAAUGUUGGGUUAAGUCCCGCAACGAGCGCAACCCUUAUCCUUUGUUGCCAGCGGUUAGGCCGGGAACUCAAAGGAGACUGCCAGUGAUAAACUGGAGGAAGGUGGGGAUGACGUCAAGUCAUCAUGGCCCUUACGACCAGGGCUACACACGUGCUACAAUGGCAUAUACAAAGAGAAGCGACCUCGCGAGAGCAAGCGGACCUCAUAAAGUAUGUCGUAGUCCGGAUUGGAGUCUGCAACUCGACUCCAUGAAGUCGGAAUCGCUAGUAAUCGUAGAUCAGAAUGCUACGGUGAAUACGUUCCCGGGCCUUGUACACACCGCCCGUCACACCAUGGGAGUGGGUUGCAAAAGAAGUAGGUAGCUUAACCUUCGGGAGGGCGCUUACCACUUUGUGAUUCAUGACUGGGGUG
rnacentral:rRNA from 1 species